UUUUAAGCAAAUACUUUUUGAAUUAAGGCAUAUGUAACAAACAGUAGCAUGAUACUUUAACAAAAUUAAGGUUGUGAAUACAUGGAAAAUGACAUCACGCAAUACAGGAAAUAUUUGGGUAUAUCAUCCAAAUGAUAUUAUGGAAUGUUUAACUUCUUUGAUAAACAAGGAGUCAGCUAUAGAUGUCGAAUUUAUAGAAAUAUCUGUUGCUGAUUUCUCACCAGGAUGGGUUGAGUAUUGCGAUGUAUUCACAGGAGAAUGUUUAUAUAGAGUAGAAAUGACACGUAGAAAUUAUAAGGUACGAGAUGGAGAAGAAGCUUCAGGAAUUAAUUACGAAAAUCCUCAUGUUGAAAUUAUAGAGAGUCAUUCAACAGAUAUAAUCCCUCGUGAAAAUAAUUCACCAAUUCCAUUUUGGACUUCUUGUUGGUGGUUUCUGAGAGAAAUCUUUGGUUUAUCUUUUAGUUGUGAUUUUCUUUCCUCUGAAGAUACUAAUUGGGAUUUAAUGCACAGGGCUAACAAAAGAGAUGGGAAAUCGGAUCUAUUGACAAGUAUAGGCCAGAAUAUUCAUGCGUACCAGUGGCCGAGUAGAUAAAACUAGUAAACACUGAUAAUUCAGUUCAGAUCGCGGGUUCGUUCCUAACUAACAGGAUAACUGUGGAGUUUUCUUCACAUGUUUAACACCUUAAUAAGAAUUUGCGAAGACUCAUGCUUCAAGAACAUUUAAAAGCCUUGAAAAGCUAUUAUAUCAAAAGUAGUUGAACAG